CGCGCCGGUGCGCAGCAGUUCAGCAGCAGCUUCGCCUGCUGCAUGGCCUCCGGACCUUAAAAGGCUCUGCGCCGCUCAGGAUAGAACUUCAAGAUGGACCUCCUUCUCCAAGAAAGUCUGGGUCUACGUGUGUGAUAGUUCACAAGAGGGCAAAUGCUUUGAGAUUGCCCAUGGAAGUGAAGCCUGUGGUCCUCGCAGAGUCACCAGGCCAGGCUCUUCAUCUGUAAACAGAGGAUGCUGGAGGAGAUGAUGAAUAAAGUCCUCUCUAGCUGUAAAUUCUGUUCCAAGACUUCACCCUACCCUUCUGCGGAGCAGGCUGAAAUGAUCUCCCUUCUGGGUGUCUGGGAGAAUUAAUAAAUCUGGAUGGCUUGUGGGAUGCUGUACAAAGGCCCCAACAGAUCCAAGUGUUAGUGUCUGAAUUGGUUUAACCCAAUGGCCUCCAAAAUGCCAGGCUGAGAUGUGCUGAUCCAUGGCAAAGUUUUCACUCGUUCAAGGCAAAUUGAGACAAAUAAAGAUAAUAUAGUGAGUUUCAUAAAGCUAAUAUUAUUUAAUUUAAUAGUUCUUUAUUUUGCUCCUUUUUUGGGGGGGGUGUUCAUCUUUAUGUUAAGAAAAGGUGAUGAAAGCAGAUGGGUAAGUUGAAAAAUGUAUUGUUAUCUGGUGAAAUCACCAGUUUGGCAACUCUGUGUCAGUCCAUACAGUUAGAGGAGAGAGAAUCCUCGUCUGUGAAAUUCUGGGGAUCGCUGUUUAAUAGAAUUCAUGCUUGCUAGAGAUUCACUUAGUAUAUGUAUAGUUCUGCAGAGCAGCUAAUAAAGGAUUUCAACAUUCAGAAGGGGAUGUAUGGGUAGCGAGUGAUCUAUCAGGCACGCACUGGAUUUAUAGUAUAUUCCUCAACCAAGAAGCUACAGCUAUGGUACUCAGCUUUGGUACUCAGCAUAUCCUGAUGAGAUAAGAGAGCUUAUGUCUAAUUUUCCCCAUGCCCGGGGAAAACUGACUCUCCGACUGGUGCCCCUGUGUCUGAACCUCAUGAAUUAUUGAUGACAGAGGCUGGAUAGCGUGACACUCCUCUUCUUCCUCUCCUGUUCAGAGCUAAUGCACUGUGGGAACCCUUCCCAGUGCUCUCCACCUGUGGGCCUUUGGGGAGGGUAUGUAGGACUGGAGAAGGGUUCUCAGGGCUUUGGAUUCAAAGGGACAGGCCUUCAGGGUAUAUCUGAUCUCUCUUCACCUCUUGCUCAGAGGGGCUGAGGUUGGGUAGAGUGAGGGAGACCAUACUUCAAAGGGCAAAGGGUCUUGAAAAGAGAAUUCUGGUCAGGAAACUUGGUGAACAUCACAUGACCCCUCCUUGUCUGGGCAGGGUUGAUAUAUGGCCUCUGGCACCAUUUCUUUUGGGAGAGCACAGGGACAUUAGGGAGAGGAUCCGUGAACUGAAAAGGGUAGAGGGAAGGCAAGGAGUGUGGGAGUCUCUAGCUGCUACUCUUCAUCAAGCUGAUUUGUUGGAGAUGGGGACAGGAAAUCUUUGGGGGAAAAACAUGGGUGUGUAGGAGUCUCUUUAAAUGGGGAACUUUAAUAGGCAAUGGGAUUGCUUUUGUAGGUAUGGAGGUGGUACUGAUGAGGGAGGAUAAGGCAAGCUGAGGGCAAAGCAGAGCUACCCACCCCCCCCUCCAGGUGGGAUACCUAUGACAUUUCCUCAGGCACUCCUGGCUGCCCAAGAACAAAGGAAAGGAGAAAACAAACGGUUAACUGAUAUAGAUCACAGUCAUGCAGGACAGGAGUCUCCAUCAGCUUACAAAUAUCUUAGUAAAUUAUAAGAAAAAAAGCAAUCUUAUCAAUAGGCUAAUCUCCAAGACCUAUUGAUGGGGCUUUGGGGUGAUGGUGGGGGUUCAGAGCUGAUGGCCAACAAAGAAUUCUUGAAGACGUCUUUGGUACAAAAGUGAUUUUAUUAAAGCAUGGGGACAGGACCCGUGGGCAGAAAGAGCUGCAUUGGGGUUGUGAAGAAUGACUGGUUAUAUACUAUGAACUUGGGGGAGGUAAAGUCCAAAGGGAAGUUUCCAAAGACAUUUUCAUAUGCUAAAGACUCACAGAUUACUGGAGGCCUAGCUGUUGUCAAGCUAAGGUUGUUUUUCCCUCUGGCAGAGCCUUCAUAUUAAGACAGUAGGGAGUUCGUGGACUUUAGGCUAUUGAUAAGAUU